GACGAACGCUGGCGGCGUGCUUAACACAUGCAAGUCGAACGGAAAGGCCCUGCUUUUGUGGGGUGCUCGAGUGGCGAACGGGUGAGUAACACGUGAGUAACCUGCCCUUGACUUUGGGAUAACUUCAGGAAACUGGGGCUAAUACCGGAUAGGAGCUCCUGCUGCAUGGUGGGGGUUGGAAAGUUUCGGCGGUUGUGGAUGGACUCGCGGCUUAUCAGCUUGUUGGUGGGGUAGUGGCUUACCAAGGCUUUGACGGGUAGCCGGCCUGAGAGGGUGACCGGCCACAUUGGGACUGCGAUACGGCGCAGACUCCUACGGGAGGCAGCAGUGGGGAAUAUUGCACAGUGGGCGGAAGCCUGAUGCAGCAACGCCGCGUGCGGGAUGACGGCCUUCGGGUUGUAAACCGCUUUCGCCUGUGACGAAGCGUGAGUGACGGUAAUGGGUAAAGAAGCACCGGCUAACUACGUG
rnacentral:rRNA from 1 species